rnacentral:rRNA from 1 species
GACGAACGCUGGCGGCGUGCCUAAUACAUGCAAGUCGAACGCAGUGGGGACGGGUGAGUAAAACGUGGGUAACCUCCCAUCAGAGGGGAUAACACUUGGAAACAGGUGCUAAACCGAUACUGAUGGAUGGAACCGGAGUGAAUUAGCUAGUUGGUGAGGUAACGGCUCACCAAGGCCACGAUGCAUAGCCGACCUGAGAGGAUGAUCAGCCACACUGGGACUGAGACACGGCCCAGACUCCUACGGGAGGCAGCAGUAGGGAAUUUUCGGCAAUGGGCGCAAGUCUGACCGAGCCACGCCGCGUGAGUGAAGAAGGUUUUCGGAUUGUAAAGCUCUGUCGUUAGAGAAGCGUUACCUACACAGAAAGCCACGGCUAACUACGUGCCAGCAGCCGCGGUAAUUC